rnacentral:lncRNA from 1 species
UUUCUAAAAAGGACAAAAGAGGCUCACCAGUUGUUCCUCGUGUUCCUGGUUACAAAUUAUUUGGCAAAGUUUAUCCCAGAGAUUAUCUUUAGAAAACUUUCAAAAAUAAUUUAGCAAAAGUAUGAAGCACAAACAGAAGGACCUGUCAACCACCAUGUCAGGCUUCAAGACAUAAGAAUUUCGAAUCUGAACCAUUUUUACCUGUACUCUGAUUUCCAGGUAUGAGCCAUCAUAUGAUUGAUUACUGCUUUUAUGUUCUGCUUAAGAAAUCUUUGCCCACUCCAAGGAAAUCUUGUCAAAUCAUUAGAAGAAGCUUUAGGUCACCAACAAGAAUGUGGGACUGUGAAUCAGUCUCAAAAUCAAGAAAUUAAAGCAGUCAAAAAAAAGAAAGAGAGAGAAGGAAAGAAAGAAAAAAAGAAAGAAGGAAAGACAGAAAAAAGAAAGAAGGAAAGAAAGAAAACAGUAAUUUAAACAGGAAGAAAAUAUUGCCAGUUGCAGUGGUUAUUUGGACCAGUGAAAAAUAAGGCAUAGUAGGAGAAAAGGUAAAUUAUGUUCAGGGGUUGCCCCCUAGUGUUCCUGGGCAAAUUUGUAGUCUCACUGUAGGAAAUGAAUGGAUUAUCAUUCCUGACCUUUAUGAACUAGUCCUCUCAAGAGGAAAGGAGUGGUGAAAAAACUUUGGUGAAACAAGUUCUCUCUGAACACAUCAUUCUCUCUGAUAGAGAAGGUGUACCUGUUGGCGAUCCUGGUGCUGGUCUGGAAUUAAGCUGGACAGAUCCUAUGCAUUGCCAUCUCUCUACCUACAUCUUUUAGAAGAGUGGCCAUUUCAUGAUGUUUUACAUAGUAUGGUAGCAGCAUAUUUAUGUUACAGUCCUGAUGUUAGUUAUGUCCAAGGAUGCAUGUCAUUGUGGUAAUGCUCAUUCUCAAUUUGGAAGAGACCAAUGCCUUCACUGCAUUUGCAAAGAUCUCAUAAAUAAGUCACGCCAGUUGGUCUUCUGUGUGGAUCACAGCAAGGUGUUAAGAUAUUUUGCAACGUUUGAAGUAUUCUCUGAAGACAAUUUCUUCAGAUUGUUUCUUCAAGUCUUAUGGCCUUACACCAGGCACAUGCUUAAUAGAUAGGAUCUUCACACUGUAUCAUAAAUCACUACUCUACUUGAUCUGUUCUAUCCAGUCUGAGAUGUUUUACAGAGACAGGAAGAAAUUUUUAUUUAGAACUGGACUAGGAACCCUUCAUCUGUAUGAAGAUAGUUUCCUACAGAUGGACUUGAUUCAUAUUGCACCUUGUCUAACUAAACGGGCAGAGGCUAUCAUAUCAGAAAAGCUGUUUAGCUGUAUUGCAGUCACCUGGACACAGAAGAGUACCAAGAAAUGGCCCUAGGUCUUUGUGUCUGUAAUGAAGCAUAUUAAAGAAGGAGAUAAGG